UUCGACAUUAGACGCAUCUUCCGUGAUUUAUGGUCGGUAGUUUGGUGAUUUUGAGGGAGAAAAUGAUUCAUAUACAACUGUCGUUCUUACGUCUUAUCAGAUAAGUCGCCAGGGUGAAAUGUUUUCAAUUAUUCCCGAAGUCGAUUAAAAUUUCAUCUUGGAGAUACAUUUUCCUUCAACUCCCCGUCGGGAAGGAGUUCUUGACCUGAGAGAUGUAGUAGGAAAAAGACUCCAACCCUGGACCAUGGAAAAAUAAUAGGCGGAAGUGUAACCUGGAGACAGUUACAUUGUUACUGCGGACCUCGCUUUGGGCCACUGGCAGUCAGCGAGAUCUUAUAAAGAUGUUUCAAGUUAAAGAAGCCACCUCCAGCACACCAAACGUUAACGCUACAGAACACCCACAAAUACUCCGAAUAACAAGAUACCAAGAGGAUUCUGAUAUAAAAUCGGGUAACUGAU